rnacentral:rRNA from 1 species
CCUACGGGAGGCAGCAGUGAGGAAUAUUGGUCAAUGGGCGCAAGCCUGAACCAGCCAAGUCGCGUGAGGGAUGACGGUCCUAUGGAUUGUAAACCUCUUUUGUCGGGGAGCAAGGCCCACCACGUGUGGCGGGAAGGAGAGUACCCGAAGAAAAAGCUUCGGCAAACUCCGUCCCAGAGCCCGCGGUAUUACGGAGGUUGCGAGAUUUAUCCGGUUUUAUUGGUUUAAAGGGGUGCGUAGGGGGAAGUUUAAGUCAGCGGUAAAAUGUCGGGGCUCAACACCGGCCUGCCGUUGAAACUGGUAUUCUUGAGUGAGCGAGAAGUAUGCGGAAUGCGUGGUGUAGCGGUGUAAUGCAUAGAUAUCACGAAGAACUCCGAUUGCGAAGGCAGCAUACCGGCGCUCAACUGACGCUGAGGCACGAAAGCGUGGGGAUCGAACAGGAUUAGAUACCCCAGUAGUC